AAUUCUCGAAUUCUCGAAGAUAGAGUCGGGGACAAAACAAGUGAGGAGUGGGCCAAGAUUUCUCACGUCCCAGACAUUCGAAGAUAAUAAGCUGUGGCGAUUUCAGGCGGCGAGUUGUUGAGUGGUCUUGUCUUCUAGCAGGCGACAAAUCAAGCUGUAGGCUAUGAGCUUUCCUUUCUUCCAUACAAAUAGUAGUUGUUAUACUCUACAAACACUGCCGGACUUCCUGGGCGUUACACUUGACAUGAGGUCACUUGAGCUUCUACCUCCUUUAGGGACAUUGCCAUUCCUUGAAGCGUUGGAAAUAAAGGUCAAUGAUAAUGACAUUGCCAUACCAACUGGCCCUGACUAAUGAGGAAUUUAGAAAUCUUUCUUACAUCCCAAACAUCCAAAUUGAUAAUGACCUCUGACUAUUGAGUGAGGAGCCAGCUUCCACCAAUCUCAUCCACUCUUAUAUUCAGGCAUCUAUGGACUUACUAAAGACUUAAUCAUACAUUAACUAGCAGGAUUAUGAGGGUCAAGCCUCCGAGUUGUAAUGGCUGGAUUCCCUAAGACCAAAUGCCCCCAUCCUCAGUGUCAGCACUUGCUACUAAACCUGUUGAAUGCGACUGCAGUGUCGCAGACAUUUGAAAGCAGUUCUUUCUGUGGUUUAUUUCUCUGUCCUUGCCGGGUCCUCUUCCGCCCUUCUAUCCCCCAAGUUCACUUGCUUCAGGUUGAGUCCUUGAUCUUUCCCCAAUAUCUAGCACGGUUGAAGAUCUAAUGCUUCUUCUGAUGCUGGAACCCAGCUCCCUAUCCAGUGGAGAUGUCUGUACUCUGUAGCUGUAUUUCUUCAAUAUUUGGAAAGGCUUGCAAGCAAACUCUUAUGUGGAGGGAAUAGGGAGGUCAGGUCUUUUUAGUUCUGAUGAUUGGAGUCCACUACAAGAUGAUCCCCAACCCUUAUAGACUACAGAGGAAUUCUUCACACUAUCUCGUACUGUACUGCUUAGAUUUAAUCUAAAAGCGUUUACAUUGGCAUUGGGAUUUUCAAGCUGAUGACUGGAUAUAUGCUUUGGGAUGUCAUCAUAAGAUCAUUCAACUGUAGUCCAGCUAGAGAAAUUGAACCAUCUGCAAAACAGCAUUUUAUGUCAGAGGUUUAUCUAACAAUGAGAAUGCACCAUCAAGAAAACUCUGCACACAUUGAUGGAUUGAUGAGGUUCUUACUAAAGCAAGGCAUUUUGCUUCACGUAUCUCAGGUAGAUUCUCAUUAUUUGACCUUUGUAAACUUUUGGAGGGGCUUGAUUAUUCGAUUGCUUGCUAGUUUGCGCAAUUAUAACUUUGGCACAUACAUUAUUAUCUUAAUGACUUAAUCUUUUCGAGGUAUAAAGAGAAGUUAAUUAAGAGUGGAUGUGUCCCUGAAUUCCAUUCCAUGGAAACACUGGGGAUGACCCUAAAUGGCUUGUAAACAUUGAACAGGUAAACUCCUGACAUAUGUAAAACUUGAAGAUUAGCAGUUAGUUCAAAGCUCCAUAUAUAUUGCUUUUAACUUUCUGGGUCCGUUGAAUGUACUAAGGUCGUUGCCUAGUAAAGCAGACGAGGCAUAUCUUCUAGUGUCUGGACUUAAAUCAAAUGUAUUUCAGGAAGCUAUGGGAGUUUGUGAUCAUGAGCCAUCACGCGAGGAAGUUCGACACCAGAUUGUUUCGUUGGUUAUAUAUUUGUACCUAGGAAGGAAAAUAUUUAAGGUGACUAAAUAGUGGUGAAAUUGAUACUUACAUCAUUCAUCAUCAGGAUUGUGAUGAUAUUGUUCGUGGCUAGUACCCAAGACUGUUCUGUUAUGCCAUCUAGAAAUAAAUUUUCUGCACCAGCACUUUCCACUGAACUGAGUGAAUGUGCAAUGAUCUUCAGAGACAUUUGAAAGCUGUUCUUUCUGUGAUUCAUCUUGCUGUCCCUACCGGAUCCUCCUCUGCUCUUCUAUCCCCAAAGUUCACUUGGUGAUGUGGUGCUGAAAACCUGUACAGCAAUUGCACAAUACAUGAGCAGAGGUGAAACUAAAAUUGGAAAGCAAAGCUACGUCUUCGUUUGGGAAUUCUUUUUAUGCCUAUCUCACUCUAGUAUGGUGGUAAACCUCAAACUGCAGAAAACCAAAGUUGCUCUGCCAGACUCCUUUAUGAGUAAACUGAUCUCUUCUCUUGAGGCUUCUGUUGUGUUCCUAGAGAGGAAAUUAUGAACCCAGCUAUCACUCAAUUAGUCAUAAAAUUAGACAGUUGCUGGCUACGUCUCAUCUCAUAGCUGUAGUUUGCUGUGGAAUUAAUCAAAGCAGAAGAUUUCUGCGUUGGUUCAGCCUGUGAACCAUUAAUCAUUUGCUUAGGUCAUCAAAUGCUUUGUAAAUAGAUGAUUUUGUGAUGUGGAUGAAGAGCAUCCUGAUUGAUUUGCUCGACCACCCACCGGUCCAGGCUGAUUAUUUCUGUUGUACAUCUUAUGAAUAACUUAAUAAAGUUUGAGGUAUUUCAUGAAAAAAUGAAAAGAAGGCUUUUUCUUUACUUAUU